rnacentral:rRNA from 1 species
CAGUCGCCGCGGGAAUACGUAGGGUGCAAGCGUUAAUCGGAAUUACUGGGCGUAAAGCGUGCGCAGGCGGUUAUAUAAGACAGAUGUGAAAUCCCCGGGCUCAACCUGGGAACUGCAUUUGUGACUGUAUAGCUAGAGUACGGCAGAGGGGGAUGGAAUUCCGCGUGUAGCAGUGAAAUGCGUAGAUAUGCGGAGGAACACCGAUGGCGAAGGCAAUCCGCUGGGCCUGUACUGACGCUCAGGCACGAAAGCGUGGGGAGCAAACAGGAUUAGAUACCCCAGUAGUCCCUGUCUCUUAUAC